rnacentral:rRNA from 1 species
GAACCGUCCUAACGUUGUUCGGAAUCACUGGGCUUAAAGGGCGCGUAGGCGGCUGAUCAAGUCCGGGGUGAAAGCCUCCAGCCCAACUGGAGAAGUGCCUUGGAUACUGGUCAGCUUGAGGGAGGUAGGGGCAACUGGAACUUCCGGUGGAGCGGUGAAAUGCGUUGAUAUCGGAAGGAACGCCGGUGGCGAAAGCGAGUUGCUGGAUCUCUUCUGACGCUGAGGCGCGAAAGCUAGGGGAGCAAACGGGAUUAGAUACCCCGGUAGUCCUAGCCCUAAACGAUGGGUACUAGAUUGUGGGCUUAGCAUGGGUUCACAGUCGAAGCAAAAGUGUUAAGUACCCCGCCUGGGGAGUAUGGUCGCAAGGCUGAA